rnacentral:rRNA from 1 species
UACGUAGGGCGCAAGCGUUGUCCGGAAUUAUUGGGCGUAAAGAGCCCGUAGGCGGCCUGUUACGUCUGCUGUGAAAUCCCGGGGCUUAACCCCGGGCGUGCAGUGGAUACGGGCAGGCUGGAGGCAGGCAGGGGAGAACGGAAUUCCCGGUGUAGCGGUGAAAUGCGCAGAUAUCAGGAGGAACACCGGUGGCGAAGGCGGGUCUCUGGGCCGUUACUGACGCUGAGGAGCGAAAGCGUGGGGAGCGAACAGG